rnacentral:rRNA from 1 species
GCGAACGCUGGCGGCAGGCCUAACACAUGCAAGUCGAACGAACCUUUCGGGGUUAGUGGCGGACGGGUGAGUAACACGUGGGAACGUGCCUUUAGGUUCGGAAUAACUCAGGGAAACUUGUGCUAAUACCGAAUGUGCCCUUCGGGGGAAAGAUUUAUCGCCUUUAGAGCGGCCCGCGUCUGAUUAGCUAGUUGGUUGAGGUAAUGGCUCACCAAGGCGACGAUCAGUAGCUGGUCUGAGAGGAUGAUCAGCCACAUUGGGACUGAGACACGGCCCAAACUCCUACGGGAGGCAGCAGUGGGGAAUCUUGCGCAAUGGGCGAAAGCCUGACGCAGCCAUGCCGCGUGAAUGAUGAAGGUCUUAGGAUUGUAAAAUUCUUUCACCGGGGACGAUAAUGACGGUACCCGGAGAAGAAGCCCCGGCUAACUUCG